rnacentral:rRNA from 1 species
AUGUCCAUGAAGCUCGCCGCGUGCGCUCUCCUCCUUCCUCUAGUGCUUGCAGUGCUCCUCCACCCUGCCGAUGUCGUCGCUGUAGGUGAUGGCACACCAGGGCGCGGUGGCGGCGGAUUCAGCCUGCGGCUGAUAAGCCCCGACUGGAACCGUAGCAUCCACGUCGACGACGACGGCUUCGUGCACCUGAAUGAGCACGCCACCACCGCGCUUCGUCCGCCCAUGCACACACAAGUUGAGGGCAAGUACAGCGUCGUCACCACCGUUGGGACGGGGGCCGGACGACGCACGUACGUCCUCGCGCUGGAUAUGACCAGCAACCUACUAUGGAUGCAGUGCAAGCCGGUCCAAAAGCCUUUCGCACAACAGCCGCCGCCCUUCGAGCCUGCCAAGUCGCCGUCGUUCCGCCAUGUACCGGGAAACAGUAGGUUCUGCUUGCCGCCUGCUUAUGGGCAUCAGCCCACAGUUAGAGACCCAUGCAAGUUUCAUAGCACCGGACUUGACGGCACCGAUGCAAGAGGCGUCCUGAGCAGAGAGACCUUGGCCUUCGGGGCCUCCGCCGGCCAGGAGGCGGAGGUUGCUGGCGUCGUCAUUGGCUGCGCGCACAACAGCGAGGGCUUCAACUUCAACAGCCACGGAGUGCUCGCCGGGGUACUCGGCCUGGGAAGGCAGGCCCCAUCGCUCAUCUGGACCCUCGGCCAACAGAGGCAUGGUGGCGUGCAAGUGCAUCGCUUCUCAUACUGCCUCCCUAGCCACGGCUCACCGGACCACCACAGCUUCCUCCGGUUCGGUGACGACGUCCCAGACACCCAACACAUGGUAAGCACCAGGAUCUUGUACAUGACAUCCACGAUCAGCCGAGAUUUCAGCGCCUACUUCGUGGCCCUCACGGGCGUCAGCGUCGCCGGGCGGCAGCUGCACGAUAUUAGGGAGUUGUUCAAGCGCCACAUGCACGGCCAGGAGUGGACCAGCGGAUGCGCGUUCGAUGCUGGGACACCCACAAUGGUGAUGAUAAGGCCCGCUUAUGCAAAGCUCAAGGACGCCGUGGUGAAGCACCUCGAGCCGCUCGGGGUGCCAACCGUGUCCCGCGAGUAG